CGCCCUCCCUCCGCCGCCACUCACGACCUCCGUACGGGACGGACGAGCGAGGUAGGGGUAAGUUUUAGGGUAACGUAAGUGGGCGCGAACGCCUGACUCCACGCCAUCGCCGCGUGGUGGGAAGGAAGGCGUUCGGUUCGUAACCUACUUUGUCUAGGGAAGAACGGCUCUUACUAAUAUUAGGAGCUAAUGACGGUACCUGAAGAAUAAGCACCGGCUAACUACGUGCCAGCAGCCGCGGUAAUAC
rnacentral:rRNA from 1 species